UACAGAGGUCCCAAGCGUUGUUCGGAUUCAUUGGGCGUAAAGGGUGCGUAGGCGGCCCGGUAAGUCCGUUGUGAAAGUCAAAGGCUCAACCUUUGAACGCCGAUGGAUACUGCCGGGCUAGAGUCCGGAAGAGGCGAGUGGAAUUCCUGGUGUAGCGGUGGAAUGCGCAGAUAUCAGGAGGAACACCAAUAGCGAAGGCAGCUCGCUGGGACGGUACUGACGCUGAGGCGCGAAAGCGUGGGGAGCGAACAGG
rnacentral:rRNA from 1 species